rnacentral:rRNA from 1 species
UGGGGAAUAUUGGACAAUGGGCGCAAGCCUGAUCCAGCAAUGCCGCGUGAGUGAUGAAGGCCUUAGGGUUGUAAAGCUCUUUCGCACGCGACGAUGAUGACGGUAGCGUGAGAAGAAGCCCCGGCUAACUUCGUGCCAGCAGCCGCGGUAAUACGAAGGGGGCUAGCGUUGUUCGGAAUUACUGGGCGUAAAGGGCGCGUAGGCGGCCUGUUUAGUCAGAAGUGAAAGCCCCGGGCUCAACCUGGGAAUAGCUUUUGAUACUGGCAGGCUUGAGUUCCGGAGAGGAUGGUGGAAUUCCCAGUGUAGAGGUGAAAUUCGUAGAUAUUGGGAAGAACACCGGUGGCGAAGGCGGCCAUCUGGACGGACACUGACGCUGAGGCGCGAAAGCGUGGGGAGCAAACAGGAUUAGAUACCCUGGUAGUCCACGCCGUAAACGAUGGAAUGCUAGACGUCGGGGUGCAUGCACUUCGGUGUCGCCGCUAACGCAUUAAGCAUUCCGCCUGGGGAGUACGGCCGCAAGGUUAAAACUCAAAUGAAUUGACGGGG